CUCCUCCCUCCUCGGCCACCUGCUCCUCCCGAAGCGCCGAAACCCUAACUCCACCGAUCUCUCUCCACCCCGGGGGAGGCGAUGGCGGCGGCGCCGGCGGCGGGAGGGCAGGGAGGCGGCAUGGACGCCGCGCUCCUCGACGACAUCAUCCGCCGCCUGCUCGAGGUGCGGACGGCGCGCCCCGGCAAGCAGGUGCAGCUCUCCGAGUCGGAGAUCCGCCAGCUCUGCACCGCCUCCCGCGACAUCUUCCUCACCCAGCCCAACCUCCUCGAGCUCGAGGCGCCCAUCAAGAUCUGCGGUGAUAUUCAUGGUCAGUACAGUGAUCUUUUAAGGCUAUUUGAGUAUGGAGGUUUUCCCCCAGAAGCCAACUAUCUAUUCUUAGGUGAUUAUGUUGAUCGAGGCAAACAGAGUCUGGAAACUAUAUGCCUCCUCCUUGCAUACAAAAUCAAGUACCCUGAGAACUUUUUUCUUCUGAGAGGCAACCAUGAGUGUGCUUCAAUAAACAGAAUAUAUGGAUUUUAUGAUGAAUGCAAGCGGCGGUUUAAUGUGCGGCUAUGGAAGGUCUUCACUGACUGUUUUAACUGCCUCCCUGUGGCCGCUCUAAUUGAUGAUAAAAUAUUAUGCAUGCAUGGUGGCCUUUCUCCUGAUCUCAGACACCUAGAUGAGAUAAAAAACUUGCCCCGUCCUACCGAUGUGCCAGAUACAGGUCUACUAUGCGAUCUUCUUUGGUCUGAUCCAGGAAAAGAUGUCCAAGGGUGGGGCAUGAAUGAUAGGGGUGUCUCAUACACAUUUGGCCAUGACAAAGUUACGGAGUUCCUUGUAAAGCAUGAUCUUGAUCUUAUUUGCCGUGCCCACCAGGUUGUUGAGGAUGGGUAUGAAUUCUUUGCUGACAGACAAUUGGUCACCAUAUUUUCGGCUCCCAACUAUUGUGGUGAAUUUGAUAAUGCUGGAGCAAUGAUGAGUGUAGAUGAAACUUUGAUGUGUUCAUUUCAAAUUCUCAAACCUGCUGAGAGAAAAAUCAAAUUUAUGGCGUCAAACAAAAUGUGAAAUGAGGAAGCACUUUCCUCUUCCAGAGGCUCUGAGGUACCAGGGAGUUCUAUUCUGGGACUAAUUGAUUUUCUGCAAGACUCAUAUCAGCUCUCAUGUGGACACAAUCACAUCAAGACACCAACAUGCAGGCGCUAGGCUUGAAGAGGCAGCAUUGGGCUAGUUCUACUGGAGAAGUCAAAUAAUAUCAUUUCUAACAGUUGGUCUGGAAGUUACUCUUCAUAGCAAGUGCCGGAUUUUUUUUCCUUUUCUGUUACCACCGUGUGUGAAACUAUCUUGUAGCUGUAGAUAUAUUGAUUAUGGAAGGCUGAAGUUCGCAAUUGACGCAAGAUGAUCCCCUUCUCCAGCAAGGAAAAAAAGUUCUGAAUAUGAGAGUUUUCUGUUUGGGAGUUCCACUAUUUAAAAAGCACAUGUAUCACUUACUGAGGUAAGAACAAAAGCCAAGCCUGUGUUUGUGUUGCUUGUAAGCAAAAUAUUGGAUGAGUUCUAUUUUAGUUUUUAGAGAGCGAUAAUGGUAACAAUUCAAAUAGUAUGGGCACAAAGAAUGUUGAUGCUUGGUGGGAACUUGAUGAGAAAAAUAUUCAGCAUGUUCCUGAUGUGGAUA